AGUGAACGCUGGCGGCAGGCCUAAUACAUGCAAGUCGAACGGCCACACAGUAAGCGCUCUCUCCUACGGGUGGCGAGUGGCGGACGGGUGAGGCAUACAUCGGCAUCUACUUUUUCGUGGGUGACAUCGUAGGGCAACUUACGCUAAUACCGCAUAUGUCCUACGGCUGGAAGCAAGAGAUCUACGGACCUUUCGUGUUUCAUUGAGACGGUGUCGGAUUAGCUAGUUGGCGAGGUAAAGGCCCACCAAGGCGACGAUCCGUAGCUGGUCUGAGAGGAUGAUCAGCCACACUGGAACUGAGACACGGUCCAGACUCCUACGGGAGGCAGCAGUAGGGAAUAUUGGGCAAUGGGCGAAAGCCUGACCGAGCCACGCCGCGUGAGUGAUGAAGGUCUUCGGGUUGUAAAACCCUGUUAUUAGGAAAGAAAAAAAGCGGAAGAAAAUACCGAUGUUCUGACGGUACCUAAAGAGUAAGCACCGGCUAACUUCGUG
rnacentral:rRNA from 1 species